AGCCUUAUAUUCAAAUAAUGAUAUAAAAUUGCAAAUUUUAAGGUGUAGUAAUUACUAAGGCUU
rnacentral:tRNA from 1 species